AGGCUACAGGGCUGUGAACUCACUGUUGAGUGCUGUGAGAGUUUGUCUUCAGCUCUACAAUCCUCAAACUGUGUGCUGAGAGAGCUGGACCUGAGUGACAAUGACCUGCAGGAUUCAGGAGUGAAGCUUCUCUCUGAUGGACUGAAGAGUCAACACUGUAAACUGGACACACUGAGAUUGGUCACAUGUAAUCUCACUGUUCAGUGCUGUGAGAGUUUGUCUUCAGCUCUACAAUCCUCAAACUGUGUGCUGAGAGAGCUGGACCUGAGUAACAAUGACCUGCAGGAUUCAGGAGUGAAGCUUCUCUCUGAUGGACUGAAGAGUCAACACUGUAAACUGGACACACUGAGAUUGUCUGGCUGUAUGGUGACAGAGGAAGGCUGUGGUUUUCUGUCUUCAGCUCUGACUUCAAACCCCUCACACCUGAGAGAGCUGGAUCUGAGCUACAAUCAUCCAGGAGAUUCAGGAGUCAAGCUGCUCUCUGAACAACUGGAGGAUCCAAACUACACACUGGACAAACUCAAUCUGGAUCAUGGAGGACACACGAGGAUUACAGCAGGACCACGCAAAUAUGUCUGUUUCCUCACUCUGGAUCCAAACACAGCAAACACUCGACUCAUUCUGUCUGAGGAGAACAGAGAGGUGAAGAGUGUGGAGGAGAAUCAGCCGUAUCCUGAUCAUCCACACAGAUUUGAUGAUCUUCCUCAGGUGUUGUGCAGAGAGAGUGUGUGUGGACGCUGUUACUGGGAGAUUGACUGGAGUGGAGAUGAUGGUGUGUGUAUAUCAGUGUCAUAUAAGAGCAUCAGGAGGAAGGGAGGAGGUUAUGAGUGUGGGUUUGGAGAUAAUGCUCAGUCCUGGAAUUUGAUCUGCUCUUCCAUCGGUUCCUCAUUCAUACACAAUGACACAGAGACUGAUCUCCUAGUGAAGCCGCUCAGCAGUAGAAUAGGAGUGUUUGUGGAUCACAGUGCAGGAACUCUGAUCUUCUACAACAUCUAUAGAGACACAAUGAGCCUCAUCCACUCAGUCCAGACCACAUUCACUGAGCCGCUCUGUGCUGGGUUUGGGCUUUAUGAUCCUGGAUCAUCAGUGAAACUGAGCUGA
ensembl:processed_transcript